rnacentral:rRNA from 2 species
AAGCGGCGGAGCAUGUGGAUUAAUUCGAUGCAACGCGAAGAACCUUACCUGGGUUUGACAUAUACCGGAAAGCCGUAGAGAUACGGCCCCCCUUGUGGUCGGUAUACAGGUGGUGCAUGGCUGUCGUCAGCUCGUGUCGUGAGAUGUUGGGUUAAGUCCCGCAACGAGCGCAACCCUUGUCUUAUGUUGCCAGCACGUAAUGGUGGGGACUCGUAAGAGACUGCCGGGGUCAACUCGGAGGAAGGUGGGGACGACGUCAAGUCAUCAUGCCCCUUAUGUCCAGGGCUUCACACAUGCUACAAUGGCCAGUACAGAGGGCUGCGAGACCGUGAGGUGGAGCGAAUCCCUUAAAGCUGGUCUCAGUUCGGAUCGGGGUCUGCAACUCGACCCCGUGAAGUCGGAGUCGCUAGUAAUCGCAGAUCAGCAACGCUGCGGUGAAUACGUUCCCGGGCCUUGUACACACCGCCCGUCACGUCAUGAAAGUCGGUAACACCCGAAGCCGGUGGCCUAACCCCUUGUGGGAGGGAGCCGUCGAAGGU